GGGGGGUUGGUGCAGUGGUUAGCACUGCUGUCUCACAAUACAGAAGAUCCAGGUUGAAGCCCUGGCCGGCCUG